rnacentral:rRNA from 1 species
UACGUAGGGACCAAGCGUUGUUCGGAUUUACUGGGCGUAAAGGGCGCGUAGGCGGCCCUGUAAGUCCGCUGUGAAAGUCAAGGGCUCAACCCUUGGAUGCCGGUGGAUACUGCAGGGCUAGAGUCCGGAAGAGGCGAGUGGAAUUCCUGGUGUAGCGGUGAAAUGCGCAGAUAUCAGGAGGAACACCUAUGGCGAAGGCAGCUCGCUGGGACGUUACUGAGCUGAGACGCGAAAGCGU